CUCCACGGUGUAUCCCUGGAAUAAACACACCCGUGGGGGGAAGUCCAGCAAUGAAAAUCCACGCUGAAACAGUGGAUGAAGUGAAACGAGUGAGCCCCCGGAAGGUUUUUUCUCACGGCUGUCAACGCAAGAAGGUCAGACGUGUGGUUCUUCCUUCCUGACGACCUCUUUUGCUGUUUAUUUGGAAGUAUGCCUGCCUGGGGAUCAGGUCAAACUAUUCAUUUGAGCUUAGCCUUCUUGUUUUCCCACCAUGACUCGACCUACUAUGA